rnacentral:rRNA from 1 species
UACGGGGGGGGCAAGCGUUGUUCGGAAUUACUGGGCGUAAAGGGCUCGUAGGCGGCCAACUAAGUCGGACGUGAAAUCCCCAGGCUCAACCUGGGAACUGCGUCCGAUACUGGAUGGCUUGAAUUCGGGAGAGGGAUGCAGAAUUCCAGGUGUAGCGGUGAAAUGCGUAGAUAUCUGGAGGAAUACCGGUGGCGAAGGCGGCAUCCUGGACCAUUACUGACGCUGAGGCGCGAAAGCUAGGGGAGCAAACGGGG